GGACAGGUGGCCGAGUGGUUAUGGCGCUACGUUUAGGCAAAUGUAGUGCUUACUUUUGAAAUCCGUAGUUCGGAAGAGCGUGGGUUCGAAUCCCACCCUGUUCA